CAUAUGACAGCCUUUGAUAUACCAGUCGUGGUGCUCUGGCUGGAAUGAGAAAUAGCCCAAUGGGCCCACCGAUGGGGAUCGAUCCCAAGUGAGCGCUUUACUACUGGGCUACGUCCCGCCCCUCAAACAUUGAAUUCAGCCAAAACCCUCGUCCACAGCACAGGUACCCCCAAACAGAAACCCUCGUCCACAGCACAGGUACCCCCAAAUAGAAACCCCUACUACAAAUACUAGAGUUACAUACAUAAAGAGUAAAGUACUCUUUAUUUUAUAACGUUACUAUAACAUAUCUGACGUUAAUGUUUGGGGGAUAUCUGUAUUAGGAAAUUAACUAUUACUGGCGGUCGGUCCCACAGUACUGAUAUUCAGUCUCGUAUUUCUCAAGUAGAGAAGUACAUUUCCUCUCAAAUGUUCCCUUAUUUCUUUCCAUAAGUAUAUUAUGUAUAAAUAUUUUAUAAAAAAAUAAACAAUAUUUAAUAAAUAAAAAAUACUGCCUUAUUAAUUUAAAUGUGUUUGUUUGUUAUCGUAUGAGCAAUAUUUAUAGAAGUUUGAAUUUAUGAGUUUCAUGUUUGCUUUUUUCAAUCACCAGAACACGCAAACAACUUGUAUAGAAACUAUUAUUGCUAAGCAAUAAAGAAAUCUAAAUUUGUCCCAGGAUUAAGCUCUAUUGUUGCCUAAUAUUGGCAGCUUUGUUUUUUAGGGUUCAGUUUUGUGUUGGGACAGUAAAUUUUAAGCUGUAAACCUGGACAUCCUGUUGUGAUUAUUACACCUGUUAUUAUUAUUGUUAGGGUACCAAUCCCUCUUGUUAUUGAUUUUACUGUUAUUAAUGUUUCCUUACAAUUAUAUAAAAAUGUCCCAUGACAAAAUGGCUGACAGUUUAGAAACUUAAAAUAUUUUAAAAGUAUCGCACAAUUAAUGACCAUCCUAUAAAAUUAUGUGAAAGGGUCAUUAAUUUUAGAAGAAAGGUUGGUCAUAGAAAUGCAAAAUAUUUUGUGGAGAAAAAAAAAAGAGUUGAAAAACAACAACCACAUUUUGCAUUGUGUAAUUGUAGAAUCACUAGAAUGGCCUCAUAAAAUCGGUCUCUAAUCUGGUCUUAUAAAUUAUGAAGUUAAAUGCCCAAUUUAGAAUUUCCUUGUAAUAUGUGCAUUUAUAUUCUAGCGUGCAAUUAACUGGUGUUUAUUUUUGGUUGGCUUCCUUGAGCACAACCUUAACAGAUUUACUGUUUGCCGUGACCAGACUAACUCAAUAUAAAUAAUCCAGACCCACUUGCUUUUACAACCAUUAUAGUUUCUUCUGUUUUCUUCCUGUUUUUAAAUUUUAAAAUUUACUAGUAAAAUGGUAGGUCAUGUUACAGCAAACCCAAAUGUUUACACUCAAGGUCUGAUUCUACUUACGUGUAAGUGUUUCACACUGCAAUACUAUGCCACAGUCGAACGACCAUCAAACACACACGGCCGAAUUUAUGAACAAUGUAGGUAGUGACACAUGUCAAGUUAUACACAGACUUUGUAAAUUCCACCCACUUUGUUUAUGAUAUCACUCGGGACAACAUUUUCCAUCUUGGCAAUAAACAUGGGUGGAUAGUGCUCACUUGUUCAUUAGUCUCCAUAUCCUGAUCCCAAAUACACAAUUCCAUUGGCUGAACCAAACAUGUUUGCCCCACAUAAAAUGCCCCAGAAUGCUCUUUUUCGCAUUCAGGGUAUUUCACAGUGUGGUGGCAGAGGUUUUUUUUAACUCGCACUGUGGUGGAAACCGUUUCAUUCUAACUCCAUUGCAGCAAACAAAGCACUUUACAUAGGCAUUUCAUGCAAACAACAGCAUGAAACAUUUAGGUAGAAUUGGGCCUUGAUAUGACAUCAUGUAAUUAACAUUUAACACUGCAGAAAUUGAUCAUAACAUUAAGCAAAUACACAUUAUCAGUACUUUGUUAAAAUCAAAGUUGCAAAUAUUACAUUUAUUUGAAAGUGUUUUGUUGAAAUAAAAGGAAUUUGUUAAUA